GUCGAGCGGACAGAUGGGAGCUUGCUCCCUGAUGUUAGCGGCGGACGGGUGAGUAACACGUGGGUAACCUGCCUGUAAGACUGGGAUAACUCCGGGAAACCGGGGCUAAUACCGGAUGCUUGUUUGAACCGCAUGGUUCAAACAUAAAAGGUGGCUUCGGCUACCACUUACAGAUGGACCCGCGGCGCAUUAGCUAGUUGGUGAGGUAAUGGCUCACCAAGGCAACGAUGCGUAGCCGACCUGAGAGGGUGAUCGGCCACACUGGGACUGAGACACGGCCCAGACUCCUACGGGAGGCAGCAGUAGGGAAUCUUCCGCAAUGGACGAAAGUCUGACGGAGCAACGCCGCGUGAGUGAUGAAGGUUUUCGGAUCGUAAAGCUCUGUUGUUAGGGAAGAACAAGUACCGUUCGAAUAGGGCGGUACCUUGACGGUACCUAACCAGAAAGCCACGGCUAACUACGUGCCAGCAGCCGCGGUAAUACGUAGGUGGCAAGCGUUGUCCGGAAUUAUUGGGCGUAAAGGGCUCGCAGGCGGUUUCUUAAGUCUGAUGUGAAAGCCCCCGGCUCAACCGGGGAGGGUCAUUGGAAACUGGGGAACUUGAGUGCAGAAGAGGAGAGUGGAAUUCCACGUGUAGCGGUGAAAUGCGUAGAGAUGUGGAGGAACACCAGUGGCGAAGGCGACUCUCUGGUCUGUAACUGACGCUGAGGAGCGAAAGCGUGGGGAGCGAACAGGAUUAGAUACCCUGGUAGUCCACGCCGUAAACGAUGAGUGCUAAGUGUUAGGGGGUUUCCGCCCCUUAGUGCUGCAGCUAACGCAUUAAGCACUCCGCCUGGGGAGUACGGUCGCAAGACUGAAACUCAAAGG
rnacentral:rRNA from 1 species